GAUGAACGCUGGCGGCGUGCCUAAUACAUGCAAGUCGAGCGAACGGGCGAGAAGCUUGCUUCUCUGAUGUUAGCGGCGGACGGGUGAGUAACACGUGGAUAACCUACCCAUAAGACUGGGAUAACUUCGGGAAACCGGAGCUAAUACCGGAUGAUAUUUUGAACCGCAUGGUUCAAAAGUGAAAGACGGUCUUGCUGUCACUUAUAGAUGGAUCCGCGCUGCAUUAGCUAGUUGGUAAGGUAACGGCUUACCAAGGCAACGAUGCAUAGCCGACCUGAGAGGGUGAUCGGCCACACUGGAACUGAGACACGGUCCAGACUCCUACGGGAGGCAGCAGUAGGGAAUCUUCCGCAAUGGGCGAAAGCCUGACGGAGCAACGCCGCGUGAGUGAUGAAGGUCUUCGGAUCGUAAAACUCUGUUAUUAGGGAAGAACAUAUGUGUAAGUAACUGUGCACAUCUUGACGGUACCUAAUCAGAAAGCCACGGCUAACUACGUG
rnacentral:rRNA from 1 species